rnacentral:rRNA from 1 species
CCCUUAGAUGUCCUGGGCCGCACGCGCGCUACACUGACAUGUUCAACAAGCCUCCUAGUUCGACAGGAUUUGGGAAAUCUUUGAACGCAUGUCGUGAUAGGGAUAGAUCAUUGCAAUUAUUGAUCUUGAACGAGGAAUUCCUAGUAAACGCGAGUCAUCAGCUCGCAUUGAUUACGUCCCUGCCCUUUGUACACACCGCCCGUCGCACCUACCGAUUGAAUGUUUCGGUGAAGAUUCCGGAUAGGACUUUUUUGAUUAAUUUCAAUUCUGUCUUAAAAGCUAUCUAAACCUCAACAUUUAGAGGAAGGUGAAGUCGUAACA